rnacentral:lncRNA from 1 species
CAAAAAUGGACACAAUAUUAGCACUUGAUACAGGUCUUAAUUUGUAUUGUAAUUAAAUAUUUGACACAUAAUAACUGCAGUCAAAGAACUUAAAAUUGAUUAUAUGAUUUGAAUUUAUAUUCAACUAUUUGCUUUUGUGCACUACACUAUACUGUUUCAAAUUGUUUUCCCUCAAGACAUGGUCAUAUUACAUAAUCUCAAAUUUCUAAUGAAGUUUGCAACCACAAUUACCCAUUUAAAUACAUUGUACUUUAAAUGAGAUUGGAUUACCUCCCUUAGACUGCUUUAACAUUUUCUUGAUUGUCCAUUAACCAGGAAACCCUUGUUUCCCCCCUUUUUUGCCUCCAGUUCCUAAAUGGUUUGAGCCAUAUUCCCCCAAGGUCAAUCCUAACCAUCCCUUUGUGGUAUGGAAACUUGUGGUAUAAUUUCAGAGAGAUUCAUACACUUAAACACAAGUUAUUGUCUGGAAACUACUAUAAUGCUUAUUUGGGCCCCUUUUUUGGUCCCCAAUUCCUAAACUGUUGGGACAAUAACCCCCAGAUCAAUCCCAACAUUCCUUUUGAGGUUAUGAACCUUAUGUUUAACAAAUUAAAUAAAGAAAAUAAGGAAAAAUGGUAAAAAAAAUUAAAGAAUCCAGACCCUCAUAAAUAGUGUGUUUUUGUAUAACCAGUGCUAUAUUAUUUGAUAAUAUUCAGGAUAAAGAACCAUUUCAGAUGUGAUAAUAACUGGAACCCUGCUUUUAAGUGAUAAUUCUAUUUAUAGCAGUUUUGACAUGUGACACAUGGGUGAAAAGGGGGAGGGGG